rnacentral:rRNA from 1 species
GAUGAACGCUGGCGGCGUGCCUAACACAUGCAAGUCGAGCGAAGCGAUUUUGAUGAAAUUUUCGGAUGGAAUUGAGAUUGACUUAGCGGCGGACGGGUGAGUAACACGUGGGUAAUCUGCCUUAUACAGGGGGAUAACAGUUAGAAAUGACUGCUAAUACCGCAUAAGCGCACGGGAACGCAUGUUUCCGUGUGAAAAACUCCGGUAGUAUAAGAUGAGCCCGCGUCUGAUUAGCUGGUUGGUGGGGUAACGGCCUACCAAGGCGACGAUCAGUAGCCGGCCUGAGAGGGUGAACGGCCACAUUGGGACUGAGACACGGCCCAA